rnacentral:rRNA from 1 species
GUAGGUGGCAAGCGUUGUCCGGAAUUAUUGGGCGUAAAGCGCGCGCAGGCGGUUCGUUUAAGUCUGAUGUGAAAGCCCACGGGCUCAACCGUGGAGGGCCAUUGGAAACUGGAGAACUUGAGUACAGAAGAGGAAAGCGGAAUUCCACGUGUAGCGGUGAAAUGCGUAGAGAUGUGGAGGAACACCAGUGGCGAAGGCGGCUUUCUGGUCUGUAACUGACGCUGAGGCGCGAAAGCGUGGGGAGCAAACAGGAUUAGAUACCCUGGUAGUCCACGCCGUAAACGAUGAGUGCUAAGUGUUAGGGGGUUUCCGCCCCUUAGUGCUGCAGCUAACGCAUUAAGCACUCCGCCUGGGGAGUACGGCCGCAAAGGCUG